rnacentral:rRNA from 1 species
CGGAGGGAUCAUUACAGAGUUUUCUAAACUCCCAACCCUAUGUGAACUUACCUUUGUUGCUUCGGCGGCGGAGGCUACCCUGCGGGAGAAUACCACUUAGUGGUUACCCUGUAGUUUCAGGUACAUCAGCUACCCGGUAGUCAUCCCCGCCGGCGGCCAACUAAACUCUGUUUUCUUUGGAAUUCUGAAUAACAAACUUAAUAAGUUAAAACUUUCAACAACGGAUCUCUUGGUUCUGGCAUCGAUGAAGAACGCAGCGAAAUGCGAUAAGUAAUGUGAAUUGCAGAAUUCAGUGAAUCAUCGAAUCUUUGAACGCACAUUGCGCCCAUUAGCAUUCUAGUGGGCAUGCCUGUUCGAGCGUCAUUUCACCACUUAAGCCUUGUUGCUUAGCGUUGGGAGCCUACGGCACGGCCCGUAGCUCCUUAAAGUGAUUGGCGGAGUUGGUUCUCACUCUAAGCGUAGUAAUUAUAUCUCGCUUCUGUAGUGGUCCCGGCCCCUGCCGUAAAACCCCUUAUACAAAGGUUGACCUCGGAUCAGGUAGGAAUACCCGCUGAACUUAAGCAUAU